rnacentral:tRNA from 1 species
AGUUGGUUAGCUCAGAUAGUCAGAGCUUAGUGAUAAUAAUGCCAAGGUCAUGGGUUCAAUACCCAUACUGGCUA